rnacentral:rRNA from 1 species
UACGUAGGUGGCAAGCGUUAUCCGGAUUUAUUGGGUGUAAAGGGCGUGUAGGCGGGAGCGCAAGUCAGAUGUGAAAACUCAGGGCUCAACCCUGAGCCUGCAUUUGAAACUGUGUUUCUUGAGUGCUGGAGAGGCAAUCGGAGUUCCGUGUGUAGCGGUGAAAUGCGUAGAUAUACGGAGGAACACCAGUGGCGAAGGCGGAUUGCUGGACAGUAACUGACGCUGAGGCGCGAAAGCGUGGGGAGCAAACAGG